UACGGGGGGGCAAGGCGUUGUUCGGAAUUACUGGGCGUAAAGGGCGCGUAGGCGGCCUUCUAAGUCGGACGUCGAAUCCCAUCGGCUCGAACCGAGGAACUGCGUCUGAUAACUGGAAGGCUUGAAUCCGGGAGAGGGAUGGUGGAAGUUCCAGGUGUCGAGCGGUGGAAAUGCGUAGAUAUCUGGAGGAACACCAGUGGCGAAGGCGGCAUCCUGGACCGGCAUUGACGCUGAGGCGCGAAAGCUAGGGGAGCAAACGGGG
rnacentral:rRNA from 1 species